rnacentral:rRNA from 1 species
GAUAAACGCUGGCGGCGUGCAUGAGACAUGCAAGUCGAACGAAGGAUCGGGCUUGCUCGAUCCUUAGUGGCGGACGGCUGAGUAACGCGUAGGUGACCUACCCCGAAGUGUGGAAUAACUGCCCGAAAGGGCGGCUAAUACCGCAUGUGGUCGCACGUUCAUUCGUGCGAGUAAAGCCGCAAGGCGCUUCGGGAGGGGCCUGCGUCCGAUUAGCUCGUUGGUGGGGUAAUGGCUUACCAAGGCGACGAUCGGUAGGUGGUCUGAGAGGACGAUCACCCAGACUGGGACUGAGACACGGCCCAGACUCCUACGGGAGGCAGCAGUCGGGAAUUUUGCUCAAUGGGGGAAACCCUGAAGCAGCAACGCCGCGUGAGGGAUGAAGGCCUUCGGGUUGUAAACCUCUUUUGUCAGGGACGAUGAUGACGGUACCUGGCGAAUAAGCCACGGCUAACUACGUG